rnacentral:rRNA from 1 species
AUUGAACGCUGGCGGCAUGCUUUACACAUGCAAGUCGAACGGUAACAGGCCGCAAGGUGCUGACGAGUGGCGAACAGGUGAGUAAUGCAUCGGAACGUGCCCAGUCGUGGGGGAUGACGCAGCGAAAGCUGUGCUAAUACCGCAUACGAGCUAUGGAUGAAAGCGGGGGACCGUAAGGCCUCGCGCGAUUGGAGCGGCCGAUGUCAGAUUAGGUAGUUGGUGGGGUAAAGGCGCACCAAGCCAACGAUCUGUAGCUGGUCUGAGAGGACGACCAGCCACACUGGGAAUGAGGCACGGCCCAGACUCCUACGGGAGGCAGCAGUGGGGAAUUUUGGACAAUGGGCGCAAGCCUGAUCCAGCAAUGCCGCGUGCAGGAAGAAGGCCUUCGGGUUGUAAACUGCUUUUGUACGGAACGAAAAGGUUUGGGUUAAUACCCUGGGCCGAUGACGGUACCGUAAGAAUAAGCGCCGGCUAACUACGUGCCAGCAGCCGCCGUAAUAC